UUUUCUGUAGAGUAGUGGUCAUCACGUUAGCCUCACACGUGAAAGGUCCCCAGUUCGAAACUGGGCGGAAACA